UUGCAUUCCAAACCCACGGAGAUCUGAGCCUUUGCAAACUACACUACAUGCGCGAGGCUUAUGUUGUACUAUCAAACCAGAAUUGUUUCCAGUUUUCUCUGUGAAUAGCCUGGGAUUCAGGAAGCCAAUAAGAUGAUGGCACUGUCCAUCCAAUAAAUUCUUGUUAUUUUUUUUAGUACCAGUCAUAACUUGAAGCACAUCAAUUUCUUGGGCGAUUGGGACACAAGGCUACUUUUGUAGUAUUGCUCCUUUGUGGGUUGCACCGCUUAGGAUGUGUAAUUGUCAGCUAGACUUACCGCGCAAGUGAUUACAUGAUUGAGAUUGGAGUAGCAGAUGGCUCUGCUCGCUUCAUCAUUUAAAACGAUGGAUAGUUA
rnacentral:lncRNA from 1 species